GAAGCCGGUGGGCCAACCUCUUGGAGGCAGCCGUCGAAGGUGGGACCGAUGAUUGGGGUGAAGUCGUAACAAGGUAGCCGUAUCGGAAGGUGCGGCUGGAUCACCUCCUUU
rnacentral:rRNA from 1 species